rnacentral:rRNA from 1 species
CCUACGGGGGGCAGCAGUGGGGAAUAUUGGACAGUGGGCGAAAGCCUGAUCCAGCAAUUCCGCGUGUGUGAAGAAGGCCUUCGGGUUGUAAAGCACUUUAGUGGGGGAAGAAACAGCUUGGCCACACCAAGCCUUGACGGUACCCCAAGAAUAAGCACCGGCUAACUCUGUGCCAGCAGCCGCGGUAAU